GGAUAACCUUGUAGCUGCUAUUUUCAGCACCUCUGCUGAGACCUUUGCCCCACCUGUUACUUCCUUAUUAACGGUCAUGCUGUGCUGCUUGUCAAAGAAGGGCUAUGACACCAACAGAGUAAAUUCACAGACUCCACCCCCAGCACGGCUCCAAUCGAAGCUGAAGUGAAGCCGUUUCAGAACUUUUUGCUCUACAUAUUUGAGUUGUUUGCCAUGCUUGGAUAUGCUUGUGAAGAUGGAAUAUGGGGGAGAGCAGAAGUGCGUUGAAGUUCCACAAAGGGAUGAAUGAAGGACAUGCAUAUUGUAUUGAAGAAAUAAGUGAUGAGAAUGCUGUUAUUUGUAUUUACCAGCUCACCUAUGUCAGACCUUUUGAUAAACAAAACUCUAAUGAAAGUGAGAACAUGUAUACUGUUACAUCUUUCAGAAAAUGUUUUGAAAUUGUGGUGCACAGUUCAGAAUAAAUGUUUUUCAAAAACCA
ensembl:lncRNA